CUGUGAGCUCGAUGAGUAGGGCGGGACACGUGGUAUCCUGUCUGAAUAUGGGGGGACCAUCCUCCAAGGCUAAAUACUCCUGACUGACCGAUAGUGAACCAGUACCGUGAGGGAAAGGCGAAAAGAACCCCGGCGAGGGGAGUGAAAAAGAACCUGAAACCGUGUACGUACAAGCAGUGGGAGCACGCUUAGGCGUGUGACUGCGUACCUUUUGUAUAAUGGGUCAGCGACUUAUAUUCUGUAGCAAGGUUAACCGAAUAGGGGAGCCGAAGGGAAACCGAGUCUUAACUGGGCGUUAAGUUGCAGGGUAUAGACCCGAAACCCGGUGAUCUAGCCAUGGGCAGGUUGAAGGUUGGGUAACACUAACUGGAGGACCGAACCGACUAAUGUUGAAAAAUUAGCGGAUGACUUGUGGCUGGGGGUGAAAGGCCAAUCAAACCGGGAGAUAGCUGGUUCUCCCCGAAAGCUAUUUAGGUAGCGCCUCGUGAAUUCAUCUCCGGGGGUAGAGCACUGUUUCGGCAAGGGGGUCAUCCCGACUUACCAACCCGAUGCAAACUGCGAAUACCGGAGAAUGUUAUCACGGGAGACACACGGCGGGUGCUAACGUCCGUCGUGAAGAGGGAAACAACCCAGACCGCCAGCUAAGGUCCCAAAGUCAUGGUUAAGUGGGAAACGAUGUGGGAAGGCCCAGACAGCCAGGAUGUUGGCUUAGAAGCAGCCAUCAUUUAAAGAAAGCGUAAUAGCUCACUGGUCGAGUCGGCCUGCGCGGAAGAUGUAACGGGGCUAAACCAUGCACCGAAGCUGCGGCAGCGACGCUGAUGCGUUGUUGGGUAGGGGAGCGUUCUGUAAGCCUGUGAAGGUGUGCUGUGAGGCAUGCUGGAGGUAUCAGAAGUGCGAAUGCUGACAUAAGUAACGAUAAAGCGGGUGAAAAGCCCGCUCGCCGGAAGACCAAGGGUUCCUGUCCAACGUUAAUCGGGGCAGGGUGAGUCGACCCCUAAGGCGAGGCCGAAAGGCGUAGUCGAUGGGAAACAGGUUAAUAUUCCUGUACUUGGUGUUACUGCGAAGGGGGGACGGAGAAGGCUAUGUUGGCCGGGCGACGGUUGUCCCGGUUUAAGCGUGUAGGCUGGUUUUCCAGGCAAAUCCGGAAAAUCAAGGCUGAGGCGUGAUGACGAGGCACUACGGUGCUGAAGCAACAAAUGCCCUGCUUCCAGGAAAAGCCUCUAAGCAUCAGGUAACAUCAAAUCGUACCCCAAACCGACACAGGUGGUCAGGUAGAGAAUACCAAGGCGCUUGAGAGAACUCGGGUGAAGGAACUAGGCAAAAUGGUGCCGUAACUUCGGGAGAAGGCACGCUGAUAUGUAGGUGAAGUCCCUCGCGGAUGGAGCUGAAAUCAGUCGAAGAUACCAGCUGGCUGCAACUGUUUAUUAAAAACACAGCACUGUGCAAACACGAAAGUGGACGUAUACGGUGUGACGCCUGCCCGGUGCCGGAAGGUUAAUUGAUGGGGUCAGCGCAAGCGAAGCUCUUGAUCGAAGCCCCGGUAAACGGCGGCCGUAACUAUAACGGUCCUAAGGUAGCGAAAUUCCUUGUCGGGUAAGUUCCGACCUGCACGAAUGGCGUAAUGAUGGCCAGGCUGUCUCCACCCGAGACUCAGUGAAAUUGAACUCGCUGUGAAGAUGCAGUGUACCCGCGGCAAGACGGAAAGACCCCGUGAACCUUUACUAUAGCUUGACACUGAACAUUGAGCCUUGAUGUGUAGGAUAGGUGGGAGGCUUUGAAGUGUGGACGCCAGUCUGCAUGGAGCCGACCUUGAAAUACCACCCUUUAAUGUUUGAUGUUCUAACGUUGACCCGUGAUCCGGGUUGCGGACAGUGUCUGGUGGGUAGUUUGACUGGGGCGGUCUCCUCCUAAAGAGUAACGGAGGAGCACGAAGGUUGGCUAAUCCUGGUCGGACAUCAGGAGGUUAGUGCAAUGGCAUAAGCCAGCUUGACUGCGAGCGUGACGGCGCGAGCAGGUGCGAAAGCAGGUCAUAGUGAUCCGGUGGUUCUGAAUGGAAGGGCCAUCGCUCAACGGAUAAAAGGUACUCCGGGGAUAACAGGCUGAUACCGCCCAAGAGUUCAUAUCGACGGCGGUGUUUGGCACCUCGAUGUCGGCUCAUCACAUCCUGGGGCUGAAGUAGGUCCCAAGGGUAUGGCUGUUCGCCAUUUAAAGUGGUACGCGAGCUGGGUUUAGAACGUCGUGAGACAGUUCGGUCCCUAUCUGCCGUGGGCGCUGGAGAACUGAGGGGGGCUGCUCCUAGUACGAGAGGACCGGAGUGGACGCAUCACUGGUGUUCGGGUUGUCAUGCCAAUGGCACUGCCCGGUAGCUAAAUGCGGAAGAGAUAAGUGCUGAAAGCAUCUAAGCACGAAACUUGCCCCGAGAUGAGUUCUCCCUGACUCCUUGAGAGUCCUGAAGGAACGUUGAAGACGACGACGUUGAUAGGCCGGGUGUGUAAGCGCAGCGAUGCGUUGAGCUAACCGGUACUAAUGAACCGUGAGGCUUAACCUUACAACGCCGAAGGUGUUU
rnacentral:rRNA from 1 species